rnacentral:sRNA from 1 species
UAAGUCAUGAUGGGCCUUAUGCAUGUUU